GAGAUGGAUGUGAAUAAUGGAAUGGAGACAAUGAGAUUUUGUUAUUUACUUGAUGAUGAAUUGGUAGCUGUCAAUGAAAUGAGGUCCCGAAACUAUUUGGAUUUGUAAGAUAUUCUUGAACUACGUACCUGACGCCUUCAAUCCAUCCGGGAAAAGGUUCUUUCCAAAUUAACAAUGAUUUCCACUUGAUUCUUCAUCUCUUCAACCAAAUUUGAAUCGUCUAUCAAUCCCAUUUGUGUGAGUGAAACUUCCCCAGGUACCACACAAACCUUCUCUGAAAUUAAGGUGGCCCCAGUUCUAAAGCUUGAUAAGGCUCGAGAAGUCGACAAGAGAGAAAUCCCAAAAGUAAAAAGGGAAAAAAGAGGUAUUACUAUUCUUUUUUUCUCUUUUUUUUUUCCCAAACGUAAAUAAGGGUCUAAUUUUUAGUCGUGGUAGGAUGCAAAAAAUGAAUGUAGUUUAUGGUGAACUUAACUAUACAUAUUAUUAUUAAUAUUACUACAAAAUAAUUGAGUUAAAAAAUGGAAUAAUAUAAUUUAAUUUUCUACAUUGGUAAAACCAAAAUAUGAAUCACUAACAACUAACAAAACUUCUAAAUUACAUGUUUUGAACGCUUAAAGAGAUUGAAAGAAAAAAUAUUAUUUACCUUGCGUUCGAAUUCUCCAUUCCUUCUUGAUGGAACCAAAAAAA